GAACUGCGAUAAGUAAUGUGAAUUGCAGAAUUCAGUGAAUCAUCGAGUCUUUGAACGCACAUUGCGCCCCCUGGCAUUCCGGGGGGCAUGCCUGUCCGAGCGUCAUUGCUGCCCUUCAAGCCCGGCUUGUGUGUUGGGUCGUCGUCCCCUCCGGGGGACGGGCCCGAAAGGCAGCGGCGGCACCGCGUCCGGUCCUCGAGCGUAUGGGGCUUUGUCACCCGCUCGAUAAGGACCGGCCGGGCGCCAGCCGGCGUCUCCAACCUUUUUUUCUCAGGUUGACCUCGGAUCAGGUACGGAUACCCGCUGAACUUAAGC
rnacentral:misc_RNA from 1 species